rnacentral:lncRNA from 1 species
UCCUAAGUCAGCCCAUUUAUUAACAAACAGAUUAAAGUUAUUAAAAAUGAAAUAAUCCCAGAAAAAUAAUUAAAAUGGCCUUAUUACAACCCAAAACCAAACAAUAAUAUUAAUAAGAUAAAACUUAUAAAGAAAUAAAUCAGCUGCUUAUUGCAUUUAAAAGAAACAGAAAAAGUAGUGUGGCCAUCUCCGAGUCCCUCGCAGCCCCAAACCAUCUAAGCUUAGGGAUUACCUGCACAGUUAGAAACGGGGUGAGUUUACAAAAACUUAGUGUGUAAUCCCAAUAACAAACAAACAAUGAAAACACAGUAUCAGUACAAUCUGGGCCAAAGCCCUAUUCAGUCUCGACAUAUACUGGGCCGAAGCCUUUCGUUUAACGGUUACUGGGCCGAAGCCUUUUCAUAAAUCAAAUCACUGGGCCAAAGCCUUUUCAUAAAUCAUAUCACUGGGCCGAAGCCUUUAUUAUAAACGGUAUGGCCUAUAGGCCCAUUUCAAUAACACAUGAAAUAUCAAUGAAUGUAUGCAAGCCCAUUUCAAUAUCACAUGAAAUACCAAUGAAUGUAUGCAGGCCCAUUUGGGGAGACUACUCAACCCACCAUCCGCUACUCUCCACCCGUACCAACCAACACACCAUGUGGGGAAUAACUCAACCCACCCAACCAACACACCACUGGCAGCAUAGCUGCUUUAUCGUAUAUCUGGAGGCAUAGCCUCUUUAAUAACUGGGGCAAAGCCCUUCUCGGUAAACUAGGGCAAAGCCCUUUUCAAUAAACUGGGGCAUAAGCCCUUUUCGGUAAACUGGGGCAUAAGUCCUUUUCAAUAAACUGGGGCAUAAACCCUUUUCGGUAAACUGGGACAUAAGCCCUUUUCAAUAAACUGGGGCAUAAGCCCUUUUGCACUUCCUCCAUCCAUAUAAAAACCCAACCCAAUGCAUUUAUGAAUUCAUCAUGUGCAUCUCAUACAUAUCAUGUGCAUAUCAUACAUAUCAUGUGCAUAUCAUAUCAAUCAUGUAUAUCAUAUCCCACGUAUCAAAUUUAUAAUUAAACCCUAGGGGUAUAAUGGUCAUUUUUACCUAGAGGCAAAACAAUCAUUUUCACAUUAUAAUGGUAAUUUCGUAAUUUUACCAAAUAUCAGGGUUUUCCAUGUUCAUCAACAAUUAUCAAUAUUUCCGAGUGUUUAAACAAUGAUCUUUAACCCACUUUAUCAAACUCGGGCUUUUGGGCCCAAAACCUCUAAUGGGCCCUACGAAUGCCGAUUUAGCCCAUUAAGCCCACAUAAUCCAAAUUUUACAAUAGUACUAACCGUGUUAACAUGCAAGUUCUCCAGAUUCCAUUUUCUAUCAGUUUUACCCAAAUGGGCCCAAAGCCCAUUGGGCCCGAUUCCAGCCCAUUGCAGCCCAACUUACCAUCGUGCACAAAAUUGAGUUCUUACCUGUUCCAUCGAUCCAAACACUGAUCAUAUCAUAUUUAUCACAUCUACACCCAAACGCAACGUUACAAGUUCCCAAAAUAUUGGUAUUUUAGCAUUUCGGCUUCUCAGCAAAUAUUAAUCUAAGCUAUUACGAGGGUUAGUACACACCUGUUACGGGUUGAAGUUGAAAUGUUUCCAAAAUCAACCACCUACAAUAACCACCACCUAUCACUCAAACUUAACUAAUCCAAUAUCAAUAUAUGUAAAUCCUAAGCACAUCAGUCAUACGGAACAUAACGGCAUAUUCGUCAUUUUACCGUACAAGGGUAUUACGGUCACUUUACCCUACAGGGGCUUUACGGUCUUUUUACCUAAUAGGGGUAUUUUAGUCAUUUCAUCCUACAAGGGUGUUUUGGUAAAUCUACAAACCAAAGGUAUUUUAGUAAUUUUGUAAACCAAUGGUAUUUCUAUAAUUUUUAUAAAGUCAAGGGUAUUUCUGUAACUUUGUAAAUUAGGGGUAUUUUGGUAAUUUUACAAAUUAAGGGUAUUUCGGUAAUUUCAUAAACCAAGGGUAUUUUGGUAAUUUUACAAACUAGGGGUAUUUUAGUAAUUUUACAAACCAAGGGUAUUUUAGUAAUUUUGUAAAUCGAGGGUAAAACAGUAAUUCUAUAAAUCAAGGGUAAAAUAAUAAUUCUAUAAAUCGAGGGUAAAAUAGUAAUUCUGUAAAUCGAGGGUAAAACGAUAAUUCUGUAAGUCGAGGGUAAAACGAUAAUUAUGUAAAUCGGGGGUAAAACGGUAAUUAUGUAAAUUGGGGGUAAAACAGUAAUUCUGUAAAUCGGGGGUACUUUGGUAAUUUUACAAGUCGAAGGUAUUUCAGUAAUUUUACAAAUCGAGGGUAUUUCAGUAUUUUUACAAACUAAGGGUAUUUCGGUAAUUUUAGUAAACUAAAGUAUUCUAAACAGUGAUAACAAUACGAAUGGGCCUAAAGUCUAUUCUCGACCCAAAUGGGCCCACAUGCUCGUGUGGCCCUUUUAGCCCAAACUAGCCACAAAUAUGAGAUUCACCUAGCCUAGUCCAAUAUUUGCUACACAAUCAAACAAACUUGUCCAAUUGGGCCUGUAGGCCCAUUGGGCCCACAUGGCCCUUUUCGGCCCAUCACGGCCCGAAGUAGCCAUCCUACAGCUAGAGUAGUGAGAAAUACACACCUGAUUGGCGACUGGAGUUAAUCCACGCUCCGAGCACUCUUAGCCGACGCCCAACCCAAACGAGCACGCAUACAACGAAAGGGAU